UUUAAUGGCUGCAGUAAUUAUAAUUAGUUUUUUAAUUAAAAGCUUGAAUGAAUGGUUGGACGAAAUAAAAUCUGUCUUUAUUUAAUUUAUAUUAGAAUUUAAUUUUUAAAUUAAAAAGUUUAAAUUUUUUUAAAAGACGAGAAGACCCUAUAGAGUUUAAUAAUUUAUUUUAUAUAAUUAAUUUAGAUUUAUUUAUUUUAUAUAUAAUAAUUUAUUUUAUUGGGGUAAUAUAAAGAUUAAAGUAAUUCUUUAUUUUUAAUUUAUUGAUUUAUAUUUUUUUGAGCCAUUAAUAAUGAUUAUUAGUUUAAAUUACCUUAGGGAUAACAGCGUAAUUUUUUUAGAGAGUUCAUAUUGAUAAAAAAGUUUGCGACCUCGAUGUUGGAUUAAAGAUUAAUUUAGGUGCAAAAGUUUAAAUAAUUUGGUCUGUUCGACCAUUAAAUCUUUACAUGAUCUGAGUUCAGACCGGUGUAAGCCAGGUCGGUUUCUAUCUUUAUUUAAUUAAUAUAUUUUAGUACGAAAGGACCAAAUAUUGAUUAUAAUAAUUAAUAUUUGAAUAAUAUUAAGUUAUUUUGGCAGAUUAGUGCAAUGAAUUUAGAAUUCAUAUAUGUAAUUUAAUUACAGGUAAUAUUUGUUUUAUAUUGAUUUAAUUUUUAUAUUUAUUAUUAUAUUUUUAUUAAUUAUUUGUGUAUUAAUUGGAGUAGCUUUUUUAACUUUAUUAGAACGAAA
rnacentral:rRNA from 1 species